rnacentral:rRNA from 1 species
GUGCCAGCAGCCGCGGUAAUACCCGCGCCCCUAGUGGUGGUCGAUAUUACUGAGCCUAAAACGUCCGUAGCCGGUCUUUUAACUCCUUGGGUAAAUCGGGCAGCUUAACUGUCCGAAGUCCGGGGAGACUGGGAGACUUGGGACCGGGAGAGGUCAGAGGUACUUCUGGGGUAGGGGUAAAAUCCUGUAAUCCUGGAAGGACCACCGGUGGCGAAGGCGUCUGACUAGAACGGAUCCGACGGUGAGGGACGAAGCCCUGGGGCGCAAACGGGAUUAGAUACCCCGGUAGUCCAGGGUGUAAACGCUGCGGGCUUGGUGUUGGGGGUCCUUAGUGGGCGCCCAGUGCCGGAGAGAAGUUGUUAAGCCUGCUGCGUGGGGAGUAUGUCCGCAAGGAUGAAAGUCAAAUGAAUUGGCGG